UCAGAGGUUUACCGACAAGUCACAGAAUCCCAGAAUGGAAAUGUCUUGCUGGAGAGAGUGUUUGGAGCCAUCCGUCCACUGAGCCCCUGCUCUGAGGUGACCCUGAAAUGCCCCCUGCAGAUCCUGCUGCAGGUUGUGGGGUGUGUGUCUCCCAUGAACAGCUGUGAGCAAAUUUGCCUUCACCCACCACUUCCUCUGACGACUUUCCCAGCAGAUCUUGAACUUAUGGGAAUAAUUUAUAAACCUGAUGUACACAAUAAACCAAAUGAAUGAUA